rnacentral:rRNA from 1 species
AGAGUGAACGCUGGCGGCAGGCCUAACACAUGCAAGUCGAACGGCAGCACAGUAAGAGCUUGCUCUUAUGGGUGGCGAGUGGCGGACGGGUGAGGAAUACAUCGGAAUCUGCCUAUUUGUGGGGGAUAACGUAGGGAAACUUACGCUAAUACCGCAUACGACCUACGGGUGAAAGCGGAGGACCUUCGGGCUUCGCGCAGAUAGAUGAGCCGAUGUCGGAUUAGCUAGUUGGUGGGUAAAGGCCCACCAAGGCGACGAUCCGUAGCUGGUCUGAGAGGAUGAUCAGCCACACUGGAACUGAGACACGGUCCAGACUCCUACGGGAGCAGCAGUGGGAAUAUUGGACAAUGGCGCAAGCCUGAUCCAGCCAUGCGCGUGAGUGAAGAAGGCCCUUGGGUUGUAAAGCUCGUUUUGUUGGGAAGUAAAGCGUAAAUCGGUUAAUACCCGGUUGUUCCGUAGUACCGGUAACCCAAAGAAUAAGCAACCGGCUAAACUUCGUGCCAGC